rnacentral:rRNA from 1 species
AACGAACGCUGGCGGCAUGCCUAACACAUGCAAGUCGAACGAGACCUUCGGGUCUAGUGGCGCACGGGUGCGUAACGCGUGGGAACCUGCCCUUAGGUUCGGAAUAACUCCCCGCAAGGGGUGCUAAUACCGGAUAAUGUCUUCGGACCAAAGAUUUAUCGCCUUUGGAUGGGCCCGCGUUGGAUUCGCUAGUUGGUAGGGUAAAAGCCUACCAAGGCGACGAUCCAUAGCUGGUCUGAGAGGAUGAUCAGCCACACUGGGACUGAGACACGGCCCAGACUCCUACGGGAGGCAGCAGUGGGGAAUAUAGGACAGUGGGCGAAAGCCUGAGCCAGCGAGGCCGCGUGAGUGAUGAAGGCCUUAGGGUUGUAAAGCUCUUUUACCCGGGAUGAUAAGGACAGUACCGGGAGAAUAAGCUCCGGCUAACUCCGU